GACCACAUGGCCUAAUGGACAAGGUUUCUGACUUUGGAUCAGAAGACUAAGGGUUCAAGACUCUUUGUGGUUG